GAUGAACGCUGGCGGCGUGCCUAAUACAUGCAAGUCGAGCGAAUGGAUUAAGAGCUUGCUCUUAUGAAGUUAGCGGCGGGCGGGUGAGUAACACAUGGGUAACCUGCCCAUAAGACUGGGAUAACUCCGGGAAACCGGGGCUAAUACCGGAUAACAUUUUGAACCGCAUGGUUCGAAAUUGAAAGGCGGCUUCCGCUGUCACUUCUGGAUGGACCAGCGUCGCAUUAGCUAGUUGGUGAGGUAACGGCUCACCAAGGCAACGAUGCGUAGCCGACCUGAGAGGGUGAUCGGCCACACUGGGACUGAGACACGGCCCAGACUCCUACGGGAGGCAGCAGUAGGGAAUCUUCCGCAAUGGACGAAAGUCUGACGGAGCAACGCCGCGUGAGUGAUGAAGGCUUUCGGGUCGUAAAACUCUGUUGUUAGGGAAGAACAAGUGCUAGUUGAAUAAGCUGGCACCUUGACGGUACCUAACCAGAAAGCCACGGCUAACUACGUGCCAGCAGCCGCCGUAA
rnacentral:rRNA from 1 species